GCCAGUGGUAGCUCAGUGGUUAAGAUGUUGGACUUCUGAUCAGAAGGUCAUGGGUUUAAAUCCCUGCACUGCCA